rnacentral:rRNA from 1 species
UACGAAGGGGGCGAGCGUUGUUCGGAGUUACUGGGCGUAAAGGGCGCGUAGGCGGCGAUCCAAGUUAGGCGUGAAAGCCCCGGGCUUAACCUGGGAAUUGCGCUUAAGACUGGAUUGCUUGAGUGCGGGAGAGGGAUGCGGAAUUCCGAGGUGUAGGCGGUAGAAAUGCGUAGAUAUCUGGAGGAACACCGGUGGCGAAGGCGGCAUCCUGGACCGACACUGACACUGAGGAGCGAAAGCCAGGGGAGCAAACGGG